rnacentral:lncRNA from 1 species
CUCUCUUAUAGCAUUGUAGAAUUUGAGGUAAUUACCUGUUUAACAGACAUAAAGACUAUCAUUCCAUGCAACUAAAAGCAGGCUUAAUAUGUACAAAAAAAAUGUAGGUGAAGUAUUUCCUUUGUCGACUUCCACUGGGAGUUAUGUUCAGUUUAAAGUCUCUUUGCUAGUACAGAGACAUCAAGUACAUAAUUGCCACUGUGCUGAAGACCCCUUUUUUUUUACGAAACUUGUGGAGAAGACAUUUUCAACUUAUUUAAAGGAAGCAAAUACAAAUGUAGUUGAUAAGUUUACCACGGUAGAACUUUUUCCCGCAAUCUUCAUUUCCAAUUGCGACAUGUUUGACCAGGAAAGGUUCAGGGUGCCCCAUUGCAGCCCUAACAGAGCCCCAUGUUGAAUCUGCACUCCCCCUUGCAAAUUCCAGACUGUCCAAUACAUCCUGUAGAAAACAAACAGUUCAAUAAAAUUAAAGGUAGAAGAAUUAUAAGUAUAAGAAUUACCUAAGUCAAUAGGAGAUAAUGGUAUCUUAUUGAGUCUGUUACUAUUCAUAUAAACAGAAUUAAUUAGUUCAUGGACAAUCUUGGUAAAGGUGAGCGUAUAACUCAAGUUAAGCGUCAUCUCGGCAUGUGAACUACCUGAAUGAAAAGUAAAGGGUCACCCACUACUGUUAUAUCUUUUUCAGCAUUCAUGAAGACAACUAAAAGAGAAUAAAACUUCAGCAUUAUUCAAAACUGAUAAUAUGUGUUGCUUUUUUUAUGGGGUGUGGGGUGUCCCCGAGUGUGCAGUGCCUUCUUCAGGACAUCGAGGAGGCAGAUGUGUGGUGUAAGGCAGGUGCUUCAGGCCUGCGUGUCAUCUGGCCUCCUUAGGUUUUUUAGUGUGGUGGUUGUUGAGUUGAGUUCUUCCUAACGAAUGUUUUUCUGUAUCUUCGUUUGUGGCCACUGUGAGGUGGUGCUUCUAUACUGACCUACUUUGGUCCUUAUUUCUUUCUUCUUAAUAUAAAUAUACACAGCUCUUCUGCGUGUUCGAUAAAAAAAUGUGAUGGUUCUCACUGUUAUCUGAGCAAUAAAGUUUUAAUCUUUUUUUUUCUCAGAUACACAGGAUUUGUAUUAACGAAUAAGUUCUAAUCUUGGAUAUGGUUUGUAGCUAAAAAAAAAGACAAAUGAUAUUAUAAUAUCUAAGUAUUUAUUUACAAUGGUAAUUUGCACCCAUGGCUGAGAAAGUACAACACAUUAAAAAAAUGAAGGUCCUUAUAUCAUUAUAUCAAUAAAUUUUCAAGGCUGCUUAGUCUACUCGAGGUAUAACUAGGGAGCUAAAAAGAUACCUUUACAAAAGGGGCAAUAGCUACAGUAUCAACUUCAUCAUUGUGGCUUAUUCCUGAGUUAUAAGAGAGAAAUUCCAUCAGUUUAGAAGCCCCGUGUUGAUAAAAGAUUUAACAAAUCUGAAAACAAUUACCAUUGUUGAAUACCCAUAUUGGGGCAGCACCCAGGUCCUCCGCAAGCUUUGACGUAGAUUUCAAUAUAAUACUUAGGGGGUCAUGAUAGGAAAGAAAAAUAAAUAAAGUGAAGCAGUGUAAACUGGUACCUGAAGGAACUCAUAAUAUCCAAGCCCAUCAUCAGUCCAGUAAUGCCAAACAUCCCCGAAGUGUCCAGGCCUCUCUUCCCAUGGACCAAUUGAUUCUCUCCAUCUGAAUGCAUUUCUUAGCCAGUCACCUUCUACAAAACAACCUCCUACAGUAGUCGCAUGGAAUCUAUCAAAUAUCUGAAACAUCUAUGAACACGUAAUAUAUGUCCAAACAUGAAGAACUUGAUUUUAAAUGUGAAAACACAGUGCAUACCAGGAAACCUCAAGAAUCGUGGUUUCAAAUCCAAAAGCAUGGAUAUAAGUUCUGUGCGGAAACCAUGUCCCUGUGUGUACAGAGAGAACCAGCUAUAAAUAUUCAGGUAAAGUUUUGCACAGUGAGAAUUACCAUACACUAGAAAGAGAUUGUUUUUGUUUCUAGGUCUUUGGCAAGAUAAAUGAAUCUAAUACAUUUGGUACACUAAAUAGAUAGCUAACAUAUAAAUUCAGACACACAGGGUAUCCAUCAGAAACAAUUAAUUGGUGGUUACACUCAUCAAACAAACCAAAGCAGUGAACUGGGUGCCAUACCAUCCUUGUAUUGUGGUUACUGAUCAUCUCAUCCUUAUAAGCUGGCUGCUGGCCACUUAUCACCAGCCACCAUUAACACAAGAUAAUUUUUAAGACGAAGAAACCUCUUAAGCAUCUCUUAAGCAUUACAAUAUGUCAAUAUGUGAUGGAAACAUUGUACCGGCAGCAGCAAGAAACUUGCGGUCAGUAUACUCAUUAAACAUUGACAGCCACAUACCGUGAUUCAUGAUAAAGUUCUUUACCAUGAAGGCAUCCAUCGACAAUUUGUUUAAUCCACAGGAGGCUGUCGUUCUCACCAUCAAUGUACCAUCAUCCCGUACAGUAGAUGGUGAUGAACAUGCAAAGCAAACACGUACAGGAGAAAGGAAACCAACCAACACCAAGCAAAAACCUGAUGUGGUUUUUAUUUCAUGAAGCAACAGUACGUAGUACGUUAUCCUGUAUCGUGGUACACCAGUACAAAGCCUUUUUUAUCGAUCAAGAUCGCUAACAGCACACCACACUCCACACCCUCUGGUUGCUGCCAUCCGCGCGCUGUUUGUGUACUGUAAUGUGCAGCACACACAUCAUAUCUCCGCCACAAGCUUGGGCUCAGCCAGCGCCAGAUCGAAGGCGGUGAAGGAGUGAGGAGCCAGCGUGACCUGCAUCUGCUCCGCGGCGUUGCUCAGCUGGCUUUUCACCGGCGCAACCUGCAAGCAGCAAGCUUUGGGGUUCAGAACAAGCUCCACACGUCGCUCCUUCCAUUCAGAAACCAACAAGCUUAGUGCAUGCAUGGACCAUCGGUACGCAUACCUUGUUCGGGUUACUGAAGGAGUUCUCGUCCAUGACGUUGCCAGACGUGAGGACGGUGGCGGUUGAUCCCAGCGCGUUGACGCUGGCCCCGAGUCCGCUCGUGGAGACCGUGAGGUUAACGGUGUCCGACCCGAAGUUCACGACCUGCACAGCAGAAGCCACUUGAGAACGAAACACCUUUAGCCGCGCAGGCUAGGACGGAUGCGAUGCGACAGACUCUACUACUUGCCUUCACUCUCAGGAAGCUAUUCUCUGCAUCCUGCCACGUGAUCGCAGACGCGGCCAGCGAACUCGAGUACCGGGAACUGAUAUUAACCGGAUGAAUCAUGGCGCCGCUUGACUCGCGGAAAAUCGUCUGCAUCCAGUAGCUAGGAGUUCCAUAGUGUUGCCAGGAGUUGAAGACAAUAGCGUCCGGGUUCCACCUGAUCUCGUUUUGUUCGAAACAAAAUCAUCGCAGCGUUAGAGCAACGGGAAAAGAACAAGUAGAGGGUAAAAAAAACCAAGAAUACUAACGUUUGGUCAUUGUCGUUCACGAAGAGUGGAGCGUAACUUGCCAUCUGAACGAUAUCACUGCAAAAAGGUCAUCUAACUCACAGUAAAGACUAUCCUUGGUAGUAGUAGAACCCCAAGCCCGCCAACGAAAAUAAGGAUCAGAUCAACCAACUUGCAACCAAAAGGAGAGAUCACCUGUUCUUCUCCAGACCAGUGAGGAAAGCAGCUUCAGCCAACGAAGCAAGAAGACUGCCUCUACCCGCGUCACUUCUCCAGACAGCGUACUCGCUCACAAAGGCCUGUGUUCGAAUCAUUUCAGCAACAUUUUUACUGUAUGGACAGGGUACUGGUGAUGUCAUAAAUAAGCAAGAAAAUCACUGGAGUUUCAGGGUCUUCAGAGAAACAUGCAAAUAGAACCACACGUCACAUAAGCUCCUUAUGAGUAUUGCUCAUCGUUAUUCAGAAUCACAACACCUCGGAGAAUUGUACCCUCCAUCUCUUAAGGAUUUUGCAAAGCAUCAAAGGACCCAUUUUUUAUAUACUACCCAAAGAACAUCCCAACUCCCAAGUGAAUGCCAGGAAUCCCUGAUCGAUGUAAAUGACUGGUCGUGAAAGAGGGCAGUCUCAUAAGAGUCCUUGUGAAAAUGAGACUUAGACUUACCUUAGGUCCACUACGUGAUGUUCUGUCAAAUGUGCUCCUCAUGUUAAACAAAGUCUUAGAAUCAGUAUAGACCUAAGAGAAAGAAGCACUGUUUAAAUUUAAGAGAAGGCAAGCUGACCUUGACAUCGAAUAAUUAGACAGAACCACAGAAUCAAGGCAGAGAAAAAAAUGAAACAAACAGACUUGGCAGUAAGGACUUUACAUGGAAAUCAUACAAAUCCGCAGGAUGGUCAAGUGGUCUAGAUGAACCAUCACAGUUUGAAAUCAUCUGAAUGUCUGGAUAGGCCUCUCUUAUAGCAUUGUAGAAUUUGAGGUAAUUACCUGUUUAACAGACAUAAAGACUAUCAUUCCAUGCAACUAAAAACAGGCUUAAUAUGUACAAAAAAAUGUAGGUGAAGUAUUUCCUUUGUCGACUUCCACUGGGAGUUAUGUUCAGUUUAAAGUCUCUUUGCUAGUACAGAGACAUCAAGUACAUAAUUGCCACUGUGCUGAAGACCCUUUUUUUUACGAAACUUGUGGAGAAGACAUUUUCAACUUAUUUAAAGGAAGCAAAUACAAAUGUAGUUGAUAAGUUUACCACGGUAGAACUUUUUCCCGCAAUCUUCAUUUCCAAUUGCGACAUGUUUGACCAGGAAAGGUUCAGGGUGCCCCAUUGCAGCCCUAACAGAGCCCCAUGUUGAAUCUGCACUCCCCCUUGCAAAUUCUAGACUGUCCAAUACAUCCU